rnacentral:rRNA from 1 species
AGUGAACGCUGGCGGUAGGCCUAACACAUGCAAGUCGAACGGCAGCACAGUAAGAGCUUGCUCUUACGGGUGGCGAGUGGCGGACGGGUGAGGAAUACAUCGGAAUCUACUUUUUCGUGGGGGAUAACGUAGGGAAACAUACGCUAAUACCGCAUACGACCUACGGGUGAAAGCAGGGGAUCUUCGGACCUUGCGCGAUUGAAUGAGCCGAUGUCGGAUUAGCUAGUUGGCGGGGUAAAGGCCCACCAAGGCGACGAUCCGUAGCUGGUCUGAGAGGAUGAUCAGCCACACUGGAACUGAGACACGGUCCAGACUCCUACGGGAGGCAGCAGUGGGGAAUAUUGGACAAUGGGCGCAAGCCUGAUCCAGCCAUACCGCGUGGGUGAAGAAGGCCUUCGGGUUGUAAAGCCCUUUUGUUGGGAAAGAAAAGAAGCAGGUUAAUACCUCGCUGUUCUGACGGUACCCAAAGAAUAAGCACCGGCUAACUUCGUG